CGUUGGAUCUCAGGAUGGCAGCUAAAAAUGGACGUCUUCAUUCUUGAAAAUUUCACCACUGAUUUCGUGCUUUUCUUAAACCUGGGUUUUGUGAAUGAAAUCCAAGGAAACGUGUUAAAGAGAAGGAGGAGGAGCAGGGCUCGACUUUACCAGCACGUUUGUCAUCUCCGUUUGGCAAAUACGCCCACCUUUGUACCAAAGGUGCUUAACAAUCUAAACCUUCUAGAGACUAACAGAUCUCUGGGAUGUACCAGGUGUGCUGCAUGGGCUGCAGAGCUUGUCCGUGGCAGAAAGGAAUGCUGUGAAUGUUCUUUUAUCAUAAAUAAAAGAUUUUCAGUUCAACAUGAUUGUGGUCUUCUCAUUGUUUGCUACUGGCCGGUAAAAUGUGUCACA